UACGUAGGGUGCAAGCGUUGUCCGGAAUUAUUGGGCGUAAAGCGCGCGCAGGCGGCCUUUUAAGUCUGAUGUGAAAGCCCACGGCUCAACCGUGGAAGGUCAUUGGAAACUGAAGGGCUUGAGUACAGAAGAGGAAAGCGGAAUUCCACGUGUAGCGGUGAAAUGCGUAGAGAUGUGGAGGAACACCAGUGGCGAAGGCGACUCACUGGCCCGAUACUGACGCUGAGGCGCGAAAGCGUGGGGAGCAAACAGG
rnacentral:rRNA from 1 species